rnacentral:rRNA from 1 species
AUUGAACGCUGGCGGCAGGCUUAACACAUGCAAGUCGAGCGGGGGAAGGUAGCUUGCUACCGGACCUAGCGGCGGACGGGUGAGUAAUGCUUAGGAAUCUGCCUAUUAGUGGGGGACAACAUCUCGAAAGGGAUGCUAAUACCGCAUACGUCCUACGGGAGAAAGCAGGGGAUCUUCGGACCUUGCGCUAAUAGAUGAGCCUAAGUCGGAUUAGCUAGUUGGUGGGGUAAAGGCCUACCAAGGCGACGAUCUGUAGCGGGUCUGAGAGGAUGAUCCGCCACACUGGGAAUGAGACACGGCCCAGACUCCUACGAGAGGCGGCAGUGGGGAAUAUUGGACAAUGGGGGGAACCCUGAUCCAGCCAUGCCGCGUGUGUGAAGAAGGCCUUAUGGUUGUAAAGCACUUUAAGCGAGGAGGAAGCUACUCUAGUUAAUACCUAGGGAUAGUGGACGUUACUCGCAGAAUAAGCACCGGCUAACUCUGUGCCAGCCGCCGCAGUAA